rfam:Bombyx mori DNA, contig: Bm_scaf109_contig37118, strain: p50T/Dazao, build 2, whole genome shotgun sequence.
UUAAGUCAAAUUUGUAUGAAGUUGGAACGCUUGCCUAUGUUUGCCGCUAGGGGCACUGUUCCAGCUGCAUACAAAUUUCAGGUA